UACGGGGGGAGCAAGCGUUGUUCGGAUUUACUGGGCGUAAAGGGCGCGUAGGCGGCCACCGCAAGUCGGUUGUGAAAUCUCUGGGCUUAACCCAGAAAGGUCAACCGAUACUGCGGGGCUAGAGUGCAGAAGGGGCAACUGGAAUUCCUGGUGUAGCGGUGGAAUGCGCAGAUAUCAGGAGGAACACCGGUGGCGAAGGCGGGUCUCUGGGCAGUAACUGACGCUGAGGAGCGAAAGCGUGGGGAGCGAACAGG
rnacentral:rRNA from 1 species